rnacentral:rRNA from 1 species
CCCUUAGAUGUUCUGGGCCGCACGCGCGCUCCACUGACGAAGUCAGCGAGCAUGUCCUACGCCGACAGGUGCGGGGAAUCUUGUCAAACUUCGUCGUGAUGGGGAUUGAUUAUUGAAAUUCUUGAUCAUCAACGAGGAAUUCCUAGUAAGCGCAAGUCAGCAGCUUGCGUUGAUUACGUCCCUGCCCUUUGUACACACCGCCCGUCGCUACUACCGAUUGAAUGGUUUAGUGAGAUCUUCGGAUUGGCGCCACUGCGGCUCAGCAAUGGGCUCGGUGGAUGCCGAAAAGUUGAUCAAACUUGAUCAUUUAGAGGAAGUAAAAGUCGUAACA